CGUAAGAGAUUUUGAGUUUUUGCUUGCACCGUUUGACCACUCGUCUUAUUAAAAAAAUUUGAAAUUAUUAUUUAUUUUUUUGACUUACUUUAUUAUCUAAAGUACUUUAAGCACAAAUUUUCAUUUUUUUAUAUUUGCACAAAUUUUUUAAAUAAGACGAGUAGUCAAACGGUGCAAGCAAAAACUCAACGGAGGGAGUAAC
rnacentral:pre_miRNA from 1 species